UGGGGAAUUUUGGACAAUGGGCGCAAGCCUGAUCCAGCCAUGCCGCGUGCGGGAAGAAGGCCUUCGGGUUGUAAACCGCUUUUGUCAGGGAAGAAAUCUUCUGAGUUAAUACCUCGGGAGGAUGACGGUACCUGAAGAAUAAGCACCGGCUAACUACGUGCCAGCAGCCGCGGUAAUACGUAGGGUGCAAGCGUUAAUCGGAAUUACUGGGCGUAAAGCGUGCGCAGGCGGUUUUGUAAGACAGAGGUGAAAUCCCCGGGCUCAACCUGGGAACUGCCUUUGUGACUGCAAGGCUUGAGUGCGGCAGAGGGGGAUGGAAUUCCGCGUGUAGCAGUGAAAUGCGUAGAUAUGCGGAGGAACACCGAUGGCGAAGGCGAUCCCCUGGGCCUGCACUGACGCUCAUGCACGAAAGCGUGGGGAGCAAACAGGAUUAGAUACCCUGGUAGUCCACGCCCUAAACGAUGUCAACUGGUUGUUGGGAAGGUUCCUUCUCAGUAACGUAGCUAACGCGUGAAGUUGACCGCCGGGGGAGUACGGCCGCAAGGUUGGAACUAAAGGAAUUGACGGGGUCAUAGCUGUUUCCUG
rnacentral:rRNA from 1 species